ACGAGGAUCUAACUGCAGGUUUCCGUGCCCUGGAUGAUGAGACCCGAUGAUUUAGUAGUUCGAAAUUUUGGUUUCUUUGUUUGUUAGAUUCCAUAAAGACGCAGUGUUGGUAUGUCUAUUGUCCAUGUUGUGGUGCUUUGUUUGGCUAUAAUUUUAGUUGGGUUGCGACAGUUACUAUGUACUACUGUCAAAUUUCAUUUUCAGUUCUACUGGGCAGAAGGGGACAAUAACUAUUCCAUAUAUAUUUAUUCAAUAAGGUCUGUAUUCAGGUGGUAACAUGUAUGAUUUAAUUU
rnacentral:misc_RNA from 1 species